rnacentral:rRNA from 1 species
UACGAAGGGGGCUAGCGUUGCUCGGAAUCACUGGGCUUAAAGGGUGCGUAGGCGGCGCGGAAAGUUGGGUGUGAAAUCCCUCGGCUCAACCGAGGAACUGCGCCCAAAACUACCGUGCUCGAGGGAGAUAGAGGUGAGCGGAACUUAGGGUGGAGCGGUGAAAUGCGUUGAUAUCCUAAGGAACACCCGUGGCGAAAGCGGCUCACUGGGUCUUCUCUGACGCUGAGGCACGAAAGCUAGGGUAGCGAACGGG